GAAUACUAUAUGGUUUGUGAAUAAAUCAAGCAAGUGGUAAUAAGAAUAUGAAAGUGACAAAUUUAGAGACAAUAUGCUAUAAGAGACUGAAAUAAAUUAAAUGAAUUUAUCUAUGGAAUAGUUUUUGAAUUAUUACCUGAAUUCACUCAUUUAAAAAUCCAGUAUUCAGAAAUUUAUCUUUAAAAAAUUUCGUUGCAGACACUGAAUGAUCACAAAACACUCUGCUCACCUUGUGAAGGUAUCCCACCCAUCUGACUGUGCCUGACUGACGUCCUAAGCAAAAUGUUGUGGCAGAUCAACAAGCUUCCUUCAAGAUCAUUCCAAAGGAGGGAAACCAGUCUCUGAACUGUGAGGACCCUCAGGCAGCUCAUUGGGAAGUCCACAGGGCCUGGAAGAUACUAGGAGGCAAUCAAAAAGAAGAACAUCAGAGAGUCCUGUAUGGUUUGUAUGCUCUGGGUUGAAUGAGAUGCUGAAAAGCUUCCCCAAACAUAUUUGCAUUUUUCUUCUAAAAUAUUGAGCACAGUGGGAAAACAAUCUGAAAACUGUUUUUUAAGUAGUAAAAAUCUUACCUCUAUGAGAUACUAAGAUAAGCCACAAAGUCACAUACAUAUUGGUUCGAGGUAGCUAAUAAGACAGACUGAUAUUUAUAUCGGGGACAUAAUAAACAGUACCAAUAGCUCCACCAAUCAAGAAAGGAAAGAUACACUGAUUGGAAGAUGGUAGUAGGAAAACUGGCCCACAAUACAGAGAAAAACAAAAUGACAGUCCUACUUAACACUAUAUCCAGAGAUGGAAUACAGAUGGGUUAAAGACCUAAACACAACAGAUAGAAUUAGAAAGUUUAAACAAGAUAAUAUGGGGAGAAAUCUCUGGCAAAUAUGGACAGAAGAAGAAUUCAACAAAUUCCCCAACGCAGUAACUACUCUGAAUGCAUAAAAAUUAGUGACUUCUGUUUAACCACGGGCAACACAAAGUCAAACAGCAAUGAUAAAUCAAAAGGAAAUACAUGAACUACCAAAAAAUGACAUGGUACUAACAUCAAGAAUACACAACAAACUCCUACAAAUCAACAGGAGAAAAACAGCAACUUUCAGGGAAGAAAAGGACACAAGCAAUUCACUGAAGGAGAAAGCAAGGACUGGUAAUCAUUCCUGCAUGGAGACACGCACCUGAAGAUAUCCUUCCCUGGCAAAAAUCAGAGUCAGGGUUAGGGGAGAAUGGAGGUACAGGAGCCUUGCUCACUGCUGAUGUGCAGGUGGGGGGAAGCAGAGGUGUGCCCCAGGGACUGGCUGAGGCAGUCCACAUCAGCAUUGUUCUGACGGCUGAGAGCUGGAGGCGACUUGGGAGAGGAGCACUAGGCUAAGAGGACAGGUGAAAUGUGGAGGAGACAAACCAGGAGUGCUACAGAGCAGGUAGAAGCAACGGGCUAGCUCUGCACGGUCCAACAUGGGAGACACUGGCCACGCGGAGAUACCUCAACUUAGAGCUCAACACCCACGUGCGGCUCGUGGUUAGAAUAUUAGCCAGCGCCACUGAAGGACAUUCCCGCUUUCCCAGCAUCCUAGAAAUGCUACGGGCAGUGCUGCUCGAGAGGAACACAAAGUAACGGGAUGUUUGCCACAAACAUGACAAAUGCAAGAAAAGGAAAUGAAGUCACAUUUAAUUAUUACUUAACUAUGCAAUUUCAAAAAUACAAAUAAAAGGCUAAAAUCAAAUAUGCAAGAGUUACCUGUGAAGAGGAGGAGAACAGUAGAACUAGGAACCCAAAGGGAAUACGGAAGCAAAAUGAGGGGAACCUUGGAUGGACCCGAGAGGCUGACACACCAUGGAGCAAAGAGUAUUAUCAGCCUCCUGUGCUUGAGGUCCGACAACAAACCUAGGCCAGGCCUCCUGGGGAAGCCUCUGAACACCAACUCUGAUGCCCUCGGUAGCGGAAACUGUCUGGGGUGCAGGAAGGAAUUUUCCCGAACCCACGUGUCAUGCAAGUUUACAGUCAUUUCAGUCAAUUCCAGUAGGCCGCUUCCCUCCUAAUGGAGCUUUCCUCGGCAAGAAUAAACCGCCGGCACACAACCUGCAGCGCCACCGUGAAUAAAGAUGCAAUACAACAUUCGCCCAUCA